rnacentral:lncRNA from 1 species
UUUUUUAAACCAAGCGCUUCACGGAACCAGUAGAUGUCACUAUGUUACACUGCAAAAUGGCGUCUGGUGAUUCUGUGUGUUCUACAGCUUUCUGCAGUAAUUAUAAAGAAAAAAAACCCAAACAUUUCGUGCUUCCGAUUUCCUACAGACCCCGAAAGGUUUUAUGCGUGGCUUUCAUUUACUGAAAGGAAAGAUUUGGAAAAGAAAAUACAUGAAGAAUUGAAUAAAAAUUUUGGUAAACGUGUGGUUUGGUCCAGUUUAUUGUUUUCGAGUCUGAGCGUUGGUGUUUAAACGUAAUAUGGUAUUGAGGCGUAUUUGUUUAACAUUUUGAUUG